UUCUGGCUUUUGUUUUCAGAGACCCAAAUAAGCUAAUGAAGUGAACUGAACUCAGGAGAACUAGAUUCCAGUCUGAAGCUUGCUGUGAUGACUCAAGAAAGCCAUCUCAUUUACCAAAAUCGGAUUCUCUUUUCAGAUGGCAGAGUCUCCCACUGGGAUCCGAGGAAUCCCCGAUUGAGCUACACUGACUGUCUAGCAUGUCCUAAACUGGGAUUACAAGCAUAUGCUGCUGUGUACAACUUGUGUUCAUUCAUGUGCGUUCUGAACUCGGGUCCCCAUGCUUGCAAACAUGUUCCCCACUGAGAUGCUCCGCAGCCCUGACAAAGUAUCUUGACUGAUGAGUCCCUUGUAUCCCUCUGCUAGGCACUGGUUGGUAGUCUAGUUUCCUCCAUCUGACCAAAAUGUCACAAGCCUACUCAAAAAGUCAUGCCAUGGAGAUCUCUGAGAUGUCAUUCCCUUCCUGAGAGCAACAUCGGCCUGUUGGGAUGGGGUAUCAAAAUAAAAAAAAAAAUCUAAA